rnacentral:misc_RNA from 1 species
AGCAGCCGCGGUAAUUCCAGCUCCAAUAGCGUAUAUUAAAGUUGUUGCAGUUAAAAAGCUCGUAGUUGAAUUUCGGGACCAAUUUGUUGGUCGUGCCUCGGUACGUACUGGUAUUAUUGGUUUCUCCCUUCUGAAGAACCUCGAUGCCAUUAAUUUGGUGUCGUGGGGAAUCAGGACUGUUACUUUGAAAAAUUAGAGUGUUUAAAGCAAGCAUACGCUUGAAUACAUUAGCAUGGAAUAAUGAAAUAGGACGUUUGAUUCUAUUUUGUUGGUUUUUAGGAUCGACGUAAUGAUUAAUAGGGAUAGUUGGGGGCAUUAGUAUUCAAUUGUCAGAGGUGAAAUUCUUGGAUUUAUUGAAGACUAACUACUGCGAAAGCAUUUGCCAAGGAUGUUUUCAUUAAUCAAGAACGAAAGUUAGGGGAUCGAAGACGAUCAGAUACCGUCGUAGUCUUAACCAUAAACUAUGCCGACUAG